rnacentral:rRNA from 1 species
GAUGAACGCUGGCGGCGUGCCUAACACAUGCAAGUCGAGCGGACAGACGUGGUUCUUGUUCCUCUCACGUUAGCGACGGGCGGGAGCGUGACACGUGGAUAGCCACCAUAGAAGGCUGGGAUAACUUCGGGAAAGCGGAGCUAGUAGCAGAAAAUAGAAUGAACCGCAGGGGUCAAUUGUGACUGACUGUUUUGCUGGCACGUCAAGAUGUUACCGAGCCGCUUUAGCUAGUUGGUAAGGUAACGGCUUACCAAGGCAACGAUGCGUAGCCGACCUGAGAGGGGGAUAGGCGACACUGGAACUGGGACACGGGCCAGACUGCUACGGGGAGCAGCAGUAGGGAACCUUGCGCAAUGGGCGAAGGCAUGACGGAGCAACGCCGCGUGAGUGAUGAAGGUAUUCGGAUCGUAAAACAGUGUUAUUAGGGAAGAACAAAUGUGUAAGUAAGUAUGCAAGUAUUGACGGUACCUGAUCAGAAAGCAACGGCUAACUACGUG